AAGUCGUAACAAGGUUUCCGUAGGUGAACCUGCGGAAGGAUCAUUAUUGAAACUUGAAUCGUAGCAUUGAGAACUGUUGCUGACCUGUUAAAGGGUAUGUGCACGUUCGACGUGUUGCGUUCUAUUCAUCCACCUGUGCACCUUUGUAGACUUGAUUAACUUUCGCUUUCGAGCGGUUAGAAGGGUUGCUUUCGAGCUCCCUUUGUCUAUCAAGUCUAUGUCUAUAUAAUCUCUUGUAUGUCUAGAAUGUCUUGUUUAUGGGACGCAAGUCCUUUAAAUCUUAUACAACUUUCAACAACGGAUCUCUUGGCUCUC
rnacentral:misc_RNA from 1 species